rnacentral:lncRNA from 1 species
CGCAUACUAAAGAAGCAUCCACAUGUACGAGACAGUGUCCUUGGCCGUUAAAAUACGCAUGUUUCCAAUAUGUGACAGGAGCCUGCACAUGCAAUUGUGUCUCGGAUGAACUUUCGUGCUUGUCGAUCCGGAAUUCCCGCUGUCCGUCUACUUAUGGACUCUGGUGCACGCCGUCACAGCAAGGGUGCUUCUGCAGCUGUUGGCGGAAGAAAAGUCUGAAUACGAAAGGAUGACAAGAAAAACAUGUAUACUUCUUCAAGUACGCCCUUGUCGUCUCGCUCCCCUGAUAGCUCCAUUUUAGGAAGUUCUGUGAGCAAAUAUGAGCCCUGAAUGAGCACUGCUUCCUUACGCUGCU